UGUCUUCGGGGCGGGGUGAAAUUCCCGACCGGCGGUAUAGUCCGCGAGCGCUUCGGCGCACGAUUUGGUGAGAUUCCAAAACCGACCGUAACAGUCUGGAUGAAAGAAGACG
rnacentral:ncRNA from 2 species